rnacentral:lncRNA from 1 species
GUCCCCGGAGUCAUAAAGAGGAAUCAGACACAGCUUCCCUGCCCUGUGUAUGUGGAGAGGGCGGACGGGAGUGCGUGGAGAGCCUGACAUUCCAGCUGAAGCUGGAAGAAUGAGUAGGCGUUUGCCUUAAGAAGAAAAGGAGAGGACGCUCCAGAUGUUACAAGUCACUCUGCCUCUGCGGGGAGAAGGCAACUUCUUCAUGAACUCGAACAUCCUUUGCAAUUCUCUAUCAGAUACUUGGCAGGGUUUAAAAAACAUGGCACCUCUUAUAACUUUUCAC